GAAACCUCUUUAUCAGGAGACAAGGGGAAGAGUUCCGAUCCCGUUCAAAAGGAUGUAUUAUUUGCCUUUGACGGAAAGAUUGAAGAGGUUGUAUCAGUGUGAGCGCACAGCAAAAACAAUGAGAUGGCAUGCAGAGCAUUCCACAAAUGGUGAGAUUAGACAUCCUUCAGAUGCGAAGGCUUGGAAACAUUUCCAGUCAACAUAUCCAGAAUUUGCGGAAGAGAGAAGAAAUGUUUAUCUUGGAUUAUGUACUGAUGGUUUCAGCCCAUUUGGAAAGAGUGGAAGACAGUAUUCUCCAUGGCCAGUUAUUGUGACACCGUACAACUUACCGCCAAGCUUGUGCAUGCGACGAGAGUUUUUGUUCCUCUCAAUUCUCGUCCUCGGGCCAGAGCAUCCUAAGAGAUCACUAGACGUGUUUCUUCAACCAUUGAUAUAUGAGUUGCAACAACUAUGGGCGCAUGGUUUUGAGACAUACGAUGUUUCGUGCAAAGAAAACUUUUAUAUGCGGACAGUACUUAUGUGGACAAUAAGUGACUUUCCAGCAUAUGAUAUGUUAUCCAGAUGGACAACACAUGGGAGGCUAUCAUGUCCAUAUUGUCAAGAUGAAACAUAUGCUUUCCAACUAAAGCACGGAAGGAAAACAUGUUGGUUUGACUGUCAUAGAAGAUUUCUACCACCUGAUCAUCCAUACCGUAAGAGUAAGACUUUGUUUACGAAGAACAAGCAGGUGUUGGAUGGUCCACCUAAGGAAGUUAGUGGGGAAGAUUUGUGGAAGCAGUUGAGGGAUUUUGGUGCAGAUAGGAAGCCUGACGUAGGUGGAGAUGAAAACAUUCGAGUCGAUGCGGUUGGAGAGCUACAUAACUGGCACAAAAAGAGCGUUUUCUGGGAUCUGCCAUAUUGGAAGGAUCAUCUAUUGCGGCAUAAUUUAGAUGUCAUUAGAGAUGGCAAAAUUUGAACCUGCCCGCGGGCCUAGCCCGUUUGAACCUAUUGCGGGGCGGGAUUGGUUACUAAGAUCCAGGCCCGAAUUUUUAGCGGGCUUUGCGGGAUGAGCUUGUGCGGGAUCGGGCCAGAAGCGGGAUGGGUUCGGUGUAUCCCGCGGGACACGCGGGGAUCCGCAAAGAUAAUUUGUCGAGAAGAACUUUUUCGACAAUCUGAUGAACACAAUCCUUAACAUCCAAGGUAAAACGAAGGAUAAUUUAAAGUCAAGGUUGGAUUUAGUCGAUAUCUGUGAUCGUUCUGAACUUCACGUCGAUGAGAAUGGUACGGUCCCUUUUCCCAUUUAUCGGCUGGAUGGUGCUGGAAAAGAAGAAUUCUUUGAUUGGAUUACAGAUAGAGUGAAAUUUCCAGACGGUUAUUCAUCAAAUUUGCGAAACUGCGUUGAUAGAAGCGAAUGAUAGUUUACUGGCUUGAAGAGUCAUGGUUGUUAUGUAAUUAUGCAGCGCCUCCUUCCGUUUUCUUUUUUCGCACUAUUGCCACGUAAUGUUCAUGAAGAAACUGCAGAAAUAAGUGUUUUUUCCGCGAUUUAUGCACCAGAGCAGUGAAUGCGGAGGGUAUUAGUAAUCUGAAGGCAAACAUACCAUUCAGCAUGUGCAACCUCGACAACAUAUUUCCUCCAUCAUUCUUUGAAGUAAUGGAACAUCUUGCUAUUCAUCUCGCAAGAGAAUUGGAACUUGGUGGUCCUGUACAGUAUCAAUGGAUGUAUCUUUUUGAGCGUUAUAAGCAUCAUCUGAAGAAGAAGGUCAAAAAUUUAAGCAAGGUGGAAGGAUCUAUAGUCGCCCAGGUGAUCAAUGAAGAAACUGCAAUCUUUGCUGAAAACUAUUUUCCAUCAGAAGUGCAUACAAAAAACCGAAGACCUGCUCGGCAUGAUGACAGAGGGGAGAGGGCAACAUAUCAUGUUACUGUCCCAAGCAUGUUCACGGAAAUAGGACGACUUAGUGGAAAACCCACGAAGCGGAGACUUACGGAGACCGAGCACGGUCAUUUGUAAACAUAUUUGCUCACCAACUAUGAAGAUGUUCUACAAUAUGAGAGGUAAAAAUAGUUAUUCAUUUAAAAUUUUUGAUUAAUAUUCAAUAAUUUUAUUUUAUAUUGAUAAUAUCUUUUUAUAUAGUGUUUAUAUGGCAGAGUUGCGUAUGACUCACAGGCAUGCGAUAGAAGAUGAGCUUCAAUAACUCAGACAUAACGGAUUUGCCGCAUGGCUUCUUAGUUAUGUGAGUCAUAUAUCAUAUUACCCUAUGCAUAUGAUUAGUUUAUAUUUAAUAUAAAGUAAUUAAUUUUUCACUCAUAUAUAUAUGUUUUUAAUUUUAUAGGUGAAUGAUAGUUUGGCCAGAGGUUUUGUGUUCAAUGAUUGGAUACGCGAAUUUGUGCGGGGACCAAACUAUGUGGUCAAAUCAUAUCCAAACUAUUGUACGCGAGGAUAUGCAUUCACAAAGAACGGUCAUUUCUAGGACAACAUAUGAUGAUGGUGUUUCGUCUUGUUCUGGUGACGAUGUCUACUACGACAACAUAGAAGAAAUAUUGGAAAUCCAGUUUCCUGGUAUGGUUGGAUUGUGGUGUGUAGUGUUCUAUUGUGAUUGGUAUGACACCACCCCAGAUAGAGGAGUGAAGAGUGAUGCGUUUGGUGUUACAUCGGUUCAUUCGCGGUGGAAACUUCAAUAUUAUGAUCCCUUAAAUCUUGCUUCGCAAGCUGAUCAGGUGUGCUACAUCAGUUACCCUCGGGUGACGUACAAUAAAGAUCCAUGUGUCACUGUAACGCAAAUCAACCCAAGAGGACGAGUGGAUGGAACUUCUGAUAAUGAACCAUUACAACCAGACUCUACCAGUAACUUGAGUGCAGUUGAAGAUUUGGCAGAUGUUGAACUCGUUGAGAAUUUUACCGAGUUUGGACUUGAUGAUGUUGUACAUUCAGAGGACGAAGCUGAGGUUGGGGAGUUUGAUGAAGAUUCUGAUGAUUCUGAUUAGGAAUUCUUAUUAUUCGACUUAUAUUUAUUAGUUGCUGUAAUUACAUAAGUUUUUUUUUCUCAAAACAAGUCUGUCGGUAUUCCGUCACUAUAUACCGACGACAUAGCGACGAAAUAUGGUUUCAUUCUAAGUGGCCAUGUUCCUCGGAAAUACCUUGGAAUAUACCUAGGACAUUCCGAUGAACUUGUUAAAUUCGUCGGAAUGUCCUCGGUAUAUUCCGAGGUAUUUUCGAGGACUUAUGUUUUUAAAAAAUUUCAGAUCAAAAUAUAUAUAAAUUUGGAUACCGAAACUAUGAAAAUAACACAUAAUAAGUGUUAAUAUAGUAUUAGAUCGUAACCGUUCAAAUAUAACAACUCAUUAAAAUAUUUAUGUAUGUAUAUCAUGGUUUUCAUAACAUCUCAUCGUAACACUCAUAUACUUAUACAAUCAUAUUCAUCUAAUCUUAUACUACAAAAAUGUUUUUGUGUAAAAUCGUGUUAUGUAAAUAUUUUUAUAGUUAAAUCUUUAUACAAAUACUAUAUAUAUUAUCAAAGAUUUGGAUUUUGCAUUUAGAAACUUGUGUUCAACCCCUAAACACUACGUCGUUGGAAUUCCGUAGGAAACUCUCGUCAAUAAUCCUUCGGAAAAUACCGACGACUUACUGACGGAUUAAAUAUCCGACGAAAUACCGACGACUUUACUAAAUCCGUCGGAAUAUCAAAUUACCCGGGAAAAACAAACCACGUGAAAAUUUUCGCGAACCGCCAAUUGGUUUAUAUUUAAUGAUUCCGACGAAACUCCGACGUACACGUGUUCGUCGGAAUCAUUAAAGAUAAAGACCCUAGACACUUCCUUCUUCGUCAUUUCUGCCUCUCUCUCUAAACUCUCUCCGAUUUCUCUCUCUUUGACGGCGACUCCGGCGAUUUGCGAGCUCCCAUCUCCGGCGAUUCCUCUUCCCACCGUCAGAUCUCUUCCCCACUCCACAAAUCAUGUAAGAUUCUAUAAAACCUUUGUGUAUUUCAAUUUUUUUGGGUUUAGGAAGUUAGAUCUUAGGGUUUAAGGUUGUUUGAUUGAAAACUUUAAGAUUGAAUGGAUAGUUUAGGAUCUAUUAGUUAGGAUUGUUGUUUGGAUUGUUGUUUUAAUUUUUUUUGGAUUGAAAACGUUUUUGUAUUUUUAAAAUUAUUUUUGCGUUUCCAGUAAUAUAUUAUAUAUAAUAAAACGUUUCUUAAAAGUCAUAUAUAUAUUUAACAACCUUUUCUAUAUUUAUAAACGUUUUAUAAAUAUUUUUUAUAGAAAAAACGAUUUUAUAUUUUUAUAUAGAUAAAAACGUAUAUAUAUAUAAAUAAUUUUUAGAUGUAAAAAUAAUUUUUAAUAUAUUUAACAACCAUUUCUACAUUUAUAGUUUUUUUUAAAACAUUUACAAUUUUUUUAUACAUAUAUAUAUAAAUCAUUUUUAGAUUUAAAUAUAUAAAUUAAAACAUUUUAAAUAGAAAAUUAUUUUUUAAUAUAUUUAACAAUCUUUUGAUGUAUUAACAUUUAUUUUUAGGUCCGAGGAAGCACGCCAUUCCGCAUCCCGUCGUUCUGCACCCCGCGGCGGCCGAGGUAGUUUGGCGAGCAGUUCCCGUCCAUCGGGUUCAUCUCACGAACAAAACUCGGUGCCCGCAUAUGUUCCCGCUCCCGCUCCUGCUCCAUAUGUUCCCGAUCCAGCUGCUCAUGAGGAUCCAGGGGUCAUGUCAGUUGAACAAUUGGUUCAACAACCAGGUCGAGAGCAUCUCCCGGUUCUCCAUCCCAACCCAUGACCGGGACAUACAACUUGGUUAGUAUUUUUAUUUUAUUUGUAGUGUUUUUCCAUUAAUUAACUUUCUAACAUGCAUUUUUCUUAAGGUUCAAUAAGUCGAGCAAUGGCAUUAGCAGGAGCAUCAACAAUAUAAUGUAUUCCAUGCUCCAUACCGAAUAUUCGAAGUGGAGUGUGAUUCCUCUCCAAGAGAGGGAGUUGUGGUUUCGUCAGUUUGCGGUAACUCUUCAGUGUUUUUUAAAGAAGUUUCCAAUUUUUUUAUAUAUAUCUACUAAUUAAAUUAUGUGUGUUGUGUAGCAAGAGUUCACUUGGGAUUCCGGUCUCACGGAAACAGUCCGUCAGAAAUUCAACGAAAAGGCCUUGGACUCUUAUACGAAGCAGAUCAACGCUUGGAAGACAGUAUGGCAGAAGAAAAAGAGGCCACGGUAUAUCAACGGGACGGUGUGGGAUCAGUUGAUAGUCCAUUGGGAGAAGGACGACACUGUAGCGACGUCUCGUAAGAACUCCAAGAACCGGAAGAGCGAUCGUGGCGGGAAAGGUAUGUAUGUGCACAACCUCGGCGCUUGCUCUAUGUCUUCUAAGGAGGAUCAACUUGUAAGUUUUAUUUUUUUUAUCUUUAUAUUUAUUUAAAUAAAUAAAUAUUUUUAUAUAUUCUUUGGCAAAUGACUGUUUUUUAGUUUAAAGCAAAUGACGGUAAUCCUGUUGAUAGUCUUCAACUUAUUAAGGAGGCUCACACUAACAAGAAGACGGGUCAAAUUCAGGACGCCGUGAUCAGAUCCUUCGUUGACUUCGUGGAAACUCAAAAAGAAGCUCUUCUAUCUUCCCAGCCUCUCUUUAAUGACGGCGAUUCUACGGGAGCUUCAACCAACAUGUUCCUAUUGCAAAUACAUGAGAUGGUCGAAAAAGUAAAAUUUUUAUUAAUAUAUUUAUUUUACAAUGUAGUUUACUAACUUUAAAUAUUUUUGUAGGCGGUUCCUAAAAGGAAAGGAGGACAUUUCGUUGGGUAGGCCCGCCGUGCUUCUUCGUAUCCGGCGUCUUCUUCGCAAGUUUCGUAUACCAAUCCCAUGAUUCUGGAGCAGCUACAGAACAAAGAUGAACGGAUUGUGGCAUUAGAGGAGCAGAACGCCACUAUCCUUUCUAGAAUGCCACUAUCCUUGCUCAGUUGGAAUCCCAAAAGAAGACCAACGCCGAGAUAUUGGAAUAGCUAGAUCGUUUGUUUCCCUCGGGUUCUUAGUUUUUUAUGAAUUUUAAAACUUGAUGAAUGUAUUUUUUCUAUUUAAGUUUGUAUGAAUUUAAAUUCUAUAAUAUUAUUAGUUUUAAAUUUCA